rnacentral:rRNA from 1 species
UGGGGAAUAUUGGACAAUGGGCGAAAGCCUGAUCCAGCCAUGCCGCGUGUGUGAAGAAGGUCUUCGGAUUGUAAAGCACUUUAAGUUGGGAGGAAGGGUUGUAGAUUAAUACUCUGCAAUUUUGACGUUACCGACAGAAUAAGCACCGGCUAACUCUGUGCCAGCAGCCGCGGUAAUACAGAGGGUGCAAGCGUUAAUCGGAAUUACUGGGCGUAAAGCGCGCGUAGGUGGUUUGUUAAGUUGGAUGUGAAAUCCCCGGGCUCAACCUGGGAACUGCAUUCAAAACUGACUGACUAGAGUAUGGUAGAGGGUGGUGGAAUUUCCUUUGUAGCGGUGAAAUGCGUAGAUAUAGGAAGGAACACCAGUGGCGAAGGCGACCACCUGGACUAAUACUGACACUGAGGUGCGAAAGCGUGGGGAGCAAACA